GACGAACGCUGGCGGCGUGCUUAACACAUGCAAGUCGAGCGAGAAAGCCCCUUCGGGGGUGAGUACAGCGGCGAACGGGUGAGUAACACGUGGGCAACCUGCCCUAGAGACUGGGAUAACGUUCCGAAAGGGACGCUAAUACCGGAUAACGCGUGAUCUGCCAAGUGGAUCACGCCAAAUGGUAGCUUAGGCUUCUGCUCUGGGAUGGGCCCGCGCCGGAUUAGCUUGUUGGUGAGGUAACGGCUCACCAAGGCGACGAUCCGUAGCUGGUCUGAGAGGACGAUCAGCCACACUGGGACUGAGACACGGCCCAGACUCCUACGGGAGGCAG
rnacentral:rRNA from 1 species